UGAGGCACUUGUGAGGGAUAAGG
rnacentral:snRNA from 1 species